CAGCAAGUUUGCCGAUGACACCAAGCUGAGUGCUGCAAUUGACGAUACAGGAGGAAGCGAUGCUGUCCAGAGGGAUCUGGGCACACUUGAAAAGUGGACCUAGGAAAACUGAAUAAUGUUGAACAAGGCCAAAUGCAAGAGGAUGGUGAGGCGCUGGAACAGGCUGCCUGGAGAAGUUGUGGAUGCUCCAUCCCUGGAGGUGUUCAAGGCCAGGUUGGAUGCGGCCCCAGGCAUCAUGAUCUGUUGUCCAGCAAGCUGCCCUGCUUGGCAGCCCAGGGCUCUGAAGCACCUUGGCCUGGGAAAGUUGUGUUUCAUGCAUUCCUCCGCAGAACCCACUUCUCUCAGGUAGCCCCUGCUCAACGCUCCCUUGGUCCAGCUCAUUUACAUCAAGCAUGCUGGAGCAGAUAAUGGAUUUCAGCAGAAUGACUGUGAGUGCUUGUUGCCUUUACCUUUUAAUUGCUACUUUAUUCUAAGACCCUAUUAUUUAGUUUGCUACCUGCUGGCAAUCCACUUCAAUCUUCUGAGUACCUUUUGCAAGUAGACCCUCACCCAGUUAUGGUCCCUGUUUCCAAACUGACGUCCUUAACAUGUGGAGAUGUUUCAUCAGCUCUCGCUUUAACCUCCCACUGACAUUGUUUUCUCUUUUCAGCCACCACAUUUUUCCCCGUUACUUUUUCAUCUCAGAACCUUGUGCUGCUUCUGCCGUGAUUUGCGUAGAAAAGCCUACAUACUUUGUGACAAAGCUGCUACGACAAUGUACAUUUUGUUAAUUUAUGUUACCACAGCAACUGAGUCAUGCAAAAAUGUAAUGUCACGUUGUUUGAUGCUGUAUCUCAGUGUGCUCAGGGAAACAGGCUCUGUGUAGAGCUGCCUUGAAACCAGGGCUGAACUGGCCAGUGUCAGGAGCUGUGGCAGAAUGGGUGCACCCUGUAGGAUCCUCCAGCAAUCCAAAUCUGGUUCUGCUCUGUUCUGGGAGGAAAUGCAGAUGUACUGGAGGAGGGGGCUUAGGUCUUGACAAGCACAAAACUGGUCCAGGAAACAAGGCACAGCUUAGGAGGACAAAAGCAGGCUGUUGAACUUAGGUGUUAAAAAUCAGACUGAAUCAGGGAGAGGAGCAACUGGUGAAAAAGUAACUGUCAGAAAGAAGUGUGGAGUUUACUGUAAGCCACAAGCUGAACAUGAAUCAGCAACAUGUGUUUGUGGUGAAAAUAGUAAAAAUCCCAGGCAGAUAUGCAUGUGGGAAGUGAUCCAUACUCGGUGCAGUGUAUAGGAGAUCAGCAUCAGGGCUGGGUUUGUGCACCAGAGGCAGAAGGUUGUGAACCACCAGGAGACAGUGCAGGUAGCAGAAACAGUGAGCAAAGGGCUGGGGAGACCAAAGGGGCCAGAGCUGUUGGGUAAAGAGGGCAGAGGAAACAUGCCAAGAGUCUUCACGUGCUUAAAAAGCCAUUGAGAGAGGAAGGGAAUAAUCUAUUCUUGGUAGAUAAAGUAAGAUGUAAUGGUCUUAAAUUUCAUCAUGGAAGAAAAGCUUUUUAAUGGUAACAUUAGUGAGACACAGCGUUAUGUUGCUGAGAGUUCAGUAGUGUCUCCAUUACUGGAUGUCUUUAAGUAUGUACUGGACAAGUAGUAAGUAUUGAUCUGAUGUUGGAAUUGGAGGAUGGAUGAGAUGACCCAUCAAGAUCCAUCCCAGACCUGUCUUUCUGUGAUUACAUGUACUCUGAGGCAUUAAUCUCAUUAAUCACUAUUCCUUUACCCAGUCACGUUUUACAUUCUGUCUUCUAUGUAAUACCCUCCCAGGUCAUUCCUGUGAAUAUUUUGUCCCAUUUUCCUCAGAGUACAGUCAAAGACUGCAGCCUUUCUUUUGCUGGCAGCCUGCAACAGACCCAGGUUGGUGACUUGUACUGCAGUGAGUUGCUGAGGUAACUAUGAUAAUUUAACAUGAGUCAAACAUACAAAAAAUUAGUUAGAUGGCUGUUUCAGUCUAUUCAAACCCUACACAAUAUUAACAUAAAUUUAGGCUCUUUAGACAUAUACUAGAUAAAACUACUCCAUUUGUAACCCAAAGCCCAGCUCAUACACACUAUCUUAAUUUCCCCUAUUUUCACUACCAGGAACCCGUAGAAGCUUCAGUGAAUGGUGCUAUGUUCUUUAUUUUCUAGGCAAGAUUUGCUUUUGCAAUGGUGUAUGUUUAAAAACUGUAGUUUAAUACCCACAUAGACAUUUCAGUUUAACAUAAAUACCUUAUACUGUGAGCAAUGGGCAUUUGUUUACUUGUCAAAUCCGAUCAACAGACAGCAUGCCUGAUUGGUUUUCUGUUUUUCUCCCCAUAUUAUCUACUCUAAUUAGAUAUUGCUUCUUGCUACAAAGUUUUGCUGUUACAGGCUUAAAUCAGCAUGUCACUGACACACGCAUUUUGGGCAUCCUGGGGUAAGAAGGCUAUUGCAGUAAUUGCUAGUGCUUAAUACAAUGCUUGUAGAGCUUUUAAGGACAGUGUACAUUGGGAGUUUAAACUUACCUUUUUCCCUCUUAAACAUAACUUUGCAAAUUGGAUGGUCAUUUUAUCCUUUGAAGAAAGAGGAUUUUCUUCCUGUACUCAAUGCCCAUUGCAGAUUAGAAGUGUGCUUUUUGCACACACAGCAUGUAUUGCCCAUUUCAUUUACCUGCACAGGCCCUUAUGCUUGCACUUGUGCUGAUCUCUGUAUUCGUACUGUUGUGGAAAAAGAAGUGGGGAAUAAAGUGGCAAAAUGUCAUGAUAAUAUUCUUGGUUUUUUUUUCUUUUUCAGGGUCAUAUAAACUAAAAUGCAGAGAUUAAGAACUAUUGAUCCCAUGCGAGGCAAAAGGCAUUGGAGUUACAUAGAAAAUACCACUGUUCAGCAGUGGCUGCGAGAAAUAGAUGUUCAGAGAAAAAAAACAGAAAACAGGAUGUAUCAAUAUGCUACUGUUCAAAUAUCAGAUGCUCCAGAGUUUGGAUGCUGCAAGCAGUUCUUGCCUCCAUGUCUCAAAAAGGGACACAGCAGUGUGAGGGAAGAGGGAUGGUCGAGGAUGUGGAGCAGCUCCUCCAUGAGGUGUGACUGAGCAGACACUCUGCCUGGAAAGAGCAAGAGAGAAUCACAGAGUCAUUAAGGUUGGAAAAGACCUUUGAGAUCACAUAGUCCAACCGUCAGCCCAUCACCACCAUACCCAUGAAACUGUGUCCCUCAGUGCCACAUUUACCCUGGGUCUGAGAGAGAUCUCUGAACGAUGGAGAGCUUGAAAAUCACAAAUAGUAUGUAAUUAUUUGGUGUUUUUCGUGAUGGAAGAUUUAGGGAGCAGCAGAUGAAGUUGUCAAAUGUCAGGUUUCAGAGUAACCAAAGGAGUGACUCCCUGAAUCUACCAGUGCUUUCAAAAGGCAAACAUACAUUCAUGGAAAAAGAAUCCCUCUAGCACGUCCCUAAGGCAUCUCCUAGCCAUUAGCUCCCCUCUGGCACCUCUAUGCACUUGUUUGGUUUGAGUGCUUGGCAGAGGACUCCUUCAGCUGGCUGCUGCCAGAGGAAGGUGCAGGGCAUGGCAGAGACCUCCAUCCCAGUGCAGCUGUUUGUACAAUGUUGUUUGUUUGCUGAGAGAGCUCUGAAUGCCUUUGACUUCUCCUGGGCUGUGUUCCUGCAGCCUCACAGAGCUGUGGGAGGCAGCAAGGCUGGGAAGUAAUCAAAGGGAUAAACAGGAGGCAGAAAGCUGUCUUUGAAGAGUCAGCAUUUUUGGGGGUGAAAAAAAAAGAUUGCUACAUACAUAUGUAGACUCAGACAAGCACGGGCUCCAUUUUCACCUUCCCCUCAGUCAUGAAAGCCAAUCAAAGUCCUAAGGCACUCUGAGGCCACAAAAUGGUAUUGCUGGGAUGAGGGAGCCAGGGGAGAGCUCUUUGUCUGUGUCUGUGGGAAUGGUGCAAAACAGCCUCCGUCUUGCAGCCCGGAGCCAUUACCAGGGGUCUCUGAGGUGGGCUGGGGUGGGCCAUGUGCUACUCACAGGCAUUCCAGAACUCCACAGGAAGCAGGAUUACUCACUGUCAGCAAAUCCAGUGGCAUGACUGGAAACUAGCCUGGGAGUCUUCUUCCCAGCAGAGAAUAGGAAAGCAGAUACCUGACAUUUGCAAAAAGGCUGGCUGACGGGAAUAUUAAAGAGGCUUUUGCUUAGCUGGAUGUGUGCAUGUUGGCUUCCGGGGCCCAGAAGAAUGGGAGAGUUGUAGAGGCUUACAGGGGCUUGUAGGAAGGCUGAGACACUGCACAACCAGAGGACAGCAUUGCUGGGGGUUCUUAUGCCAAAGGAAGGGGAAGGAAGGCUGGGGAAGGCAGUGACAAAACUCGGAGUUAGCCUAAGAGCUUUAUCCCUCCUUUAGGAAAAUCUUUAUUACACCUUAUAUUCAUAGAAUAAUAUAAUCAUUUGAAUUGGAAGAAACCCUUAGAGGCCAUGUAGUCCAACUCCCCAGCCAUGA